UACGUAGGUGGCAAGCGUUGUCCGGAAUUAUUGGGCGUAAAGCGCGCGCAGGCGGCCUUUUAAGUCUGAUGUGAAAGCCCCGGGCUCAACCUGGGAACUGCAUUUGGGACUGCAAGGCUGGAGUACGGCAGAGGGAGGUGGAAUUCCACGUGUAGCAGUGAAAUGCGUAGAGAUGUGGAGGAACACCGAUGGCGAAGGCAGCCUCCUGGGCUAGUACUGACGCUCAUGCACGAAAGCGUGGGGAGCAAACAGG
rnacentral:rRNA from 1 species